rnacentral:rRNA from 1 species
AUUGAACGCUGGCGGCAUGCCUUACACAUGCAAGUCGAACGGUAACGCGGGGCAACCUGGCGACGAGUGGCGAACGGGUGAGUAAUGUAUCGGAACGUGCCCAGUUGUGGGGGAUAACUGCUCGAAAGAGCAGCUAAUACCGCAUACGACCUGAGGGUGAAAGCGGGGGAUCGCAAGACCUCGCGCAAUUGGAGCGGCCGAUAUCAGAUUAGGUAGUUGGUGGGUAAAGGCCCACCAAGCCAACGAUCUGUAGCUGGUCUGAGAGGACGACCAGCCACACUGGGACUGAGACACGGCCCAGACUCCUACGGGAGGCAGCAGUGGGGAAUUUUGGACAAUGGGCGCAAGUCUGAUCCAGCCAUGCCGCGUGCGGGAAGAAGGCCUUCGGGUUGCAAACCGCUUUUGUCAGGGAAGAAACGCUCUGGGUUAAUACCUGGGGUCCAUGACGGUACCGUAAGAAUAAGCACCGGCUAACUACGUGCCAGCCGCCGCAGUAAUAC